rnacentral:miRNA from 1 species
UGACCGAGUAGACCGAUAGUC